UUUGAAUGAGGGUAGGUAGUGGUAGCUGUUAUUGUGAGUGGGAUUUGUGAGGGGAGAGAAAUGUGAGAGAAAGAGACGUUGGGAGAGAGAUAGAGUCUAUGAGUGAGAGUGCAGUGAUAGGUGGCUGCGUGAGAGAGAUAGAUUUGAGGAAAUAAGUGAGUUUUUGCCAACUGUAAAAAAAAGUCUAUUCAAUGUUGGCUAUUAUUAUUAUUAUUAUUUAUUUAUUUAUUUAUUUUAAAAAAAAGGAUCCAAUGUCAAAAAUAUAUUAUUUUUAUUAUUAAAGAAAAUAAGUAUAUUAAAAAUUCAUUAUCCAAAUUCAAAUUAAGUAUAUAGAAAAAAUUCUAAUUAAUUAAUUUGGAUAUUUGGACA
rnacentral:lncRNA from 1 species